GGAGGUAUGGCCCAAGUGGUAGAGCACAUGCUUAGCAUGCACAAGGUCCUGGGUUCAAUCCCCAGUACCGCCU
rnacentral:tRNA from 1 species